AACCCAUGUGUUGGAGAUUGAGCUAUAUAGUACUUGAAACGCUCUCAUGCCGAAUAUAAUUGUUCCCCGGAAGUUGUCUGAACUCAAAGAUCUUAUCCUGAAGCU